rnacentral:tRNA from 1 species
GAGGUUUUAGUAUAUAAGUACAUUUACCUUCCAAGUAAAAGGAUUACUUCGUAAAAAACUUA